UACUAAUAAUUAGUUAAGCGUGUUCGCUUAUUGGUGUAUUGAGUUAAGAGAAAGCAGAGAAAGAGGAUUCAAACUAAAUCACUGAGCUUUCCAUGCUCAUGGACUAGUAAUUAAAAUUUCUUGAAGGGAACAAUUUCCUAAUUAUUGAUUGUCAACACUAUGAAAUGUGACAUUUUCCCAUGGAAGACCUUGAAAGAAUUUUAGACAUUUAUCCUUGGAAACAAAGUGUCUCGAUGAUAAUUGAAGAGAUAGACUUGUGUUGUAUCUUCUACAAAUCAUCUGACGGAGGUGCCGUGACUAUAAGACAAACACUUCUAAGAGACAAUAGGACGACACGGCGUACAUACUGUUGUUAAUUGACUAACAAAGAAUGUUUUCCAGAUGAAGCUUAUCUAUUAAGAAAGUUGGCAGUAGUUUAAGAAAAAAUAAAUCAAAGAAACAAGAUUAGAAAACAAGAAACUAACAUCAAAUAUAUCAGGACAGAUUCUCAAUCUCUCUCUAUUAUACGUGUUCUUUGUUGUUAGACAUUGAAAUGAACUUUUAUUUAAUGCACCAUGCAAGGCGUCUAGCCCUCAUUGAUAGAGUGAAAAAAAGGCGAUCGUUUUAUAAAAACAGGGAUCAGCAUUUAUCGUUUUCAUGUGUGGCCAGCAGAAUGCCUAGAAACAGAUCUUGUGGUUGCUUUAUCUGUAAACUAAACAAAUUGGAUAUUAAAAGUAUUCAUGUCAUAGUGAUGUUCUAACAUUCACAUAUAGUUUGAUGUACUAACAUUCAAAUACAGUUUGAUGUAGGCCUACUAACAUGCACAUACAU